rnacentral:rRNA from 1 species
ACCGGAUGACCUCGGGAGAGCAAAGCUCCGGCGCCCCGGGAGGGGCCCACGUGAUAUUAGCUGGUUGGUGAGGUGACGGCUCACCAAGGCGGAGAUGUCUAGCGGGUGUGAGAGCACGACCCGCGCCACUCGCACUGAGACACUGGCGAGACACCUACGGGUGGCUGCAGUCGAGGAUCUUCGGCAAUGCGCGCAAGCGCGACCGAGCGACGCCGCGUGGGCGAUGAAGGCCUUCGGGUUGUAAAGCCCUGUCGAGGGGGAGAAAAGCCGAAAGGUGUGAUCUAUCCCUGGAGGAAGCUCGGGCUAAGUUCGUGCCAGCAGCCGCGGUAAGACGAACCGAGCGAACGUUGUUCGGAAUCACUGGGCUUAAAGGGUGCGUAGGCGGGCUGCCAAGUUUGAGGUGAAAUCCUCCGGCUCAACCGGGGAAGUGCCUUGAAUACUGGCGGUCUG